CCCCGCGAUUCUAUCCGAAAGCACGUGCAAUAUAUGUUUACGAGAAUUCCCUUCGUCCCAACCCCCAAAGGAUCAUGGUGUUUUCUUGUUGAGUAUUUUGUCAAGUGGAAGUCAUGCUCUGUGGCUGCUUGCUCGUACAACAAUCCAUCGUGUAAGUCCUCAAUCUUUCUUAUUUCAAAAAAUCUACAAACUUUAUUCUAUUCUGUGAUAUUUAAACUCUAGGAAACCGGUUUCAUUUCACGCGAAAUCGGCGAGGAAGUACGAUAAAAUCGAGUAGAUACCGCGGCUCUUUGUCACACCCUCGGUUCGAUUUGUAGAGCACGCACGUAUUAAACCGCGUUGUCUUGUGUGUUGUUUUUUAGCUGCCUUCGAUGAGUUUUGUAUGUGUACUUGGUAUGCACGAAGUUGGCUGGGAGACUGAUAGAUACACUGUCGUCGAAAAGAAUGCAAAACUGGCUAAAGCAACGAAAGAAACUUCCUCGAACGUGACGGCGAAUGGCUACGACUUAUCGAACGCAAACGGCGUCAAUGGCGAGGUAGGUAGCUACCUAUUCGAACGGCAAGGUGUCGCUACAAGCUUCACGAAAAGCGUUACGAUGGACGAGAAUACUUUCGCUGGCAAACAUUGGGCUGUAAACGACAAAUCUGAAACCGUAAGUUUGUAUUUUCAUAGUAUAAAGAUGCCCCAUAUUUAUGCACGAGUAUUUAUUGUUGUGGAAUCGAUUUACUCGAGUGAUCCUUUGAUCGCUUCGAAAUAUGUCGCUAGAAAGCUACUUUUGAAUGAACACAUUAUUCCUAGGAAGCAUUUCCUCAAAGUUGUGAUAAAAACCUAACAAAACAGAGUGUUUAUUCCAAGAGAAAUCUCUAUAGAAGUCCGCAUUGUACGAAUAUAUUCUAAGCAUGUGAAGUUUACAUAAUAUAAAUUUAAGCGUCUUUCAAAACUAUUUAAAUUCGGUCAAAAACUAAGCCUAUUCGUUACGUAUUUGUUUGUUAUGUGAAAGAAGAAAAGCGAAAUAACGAAAUAUAAAUUUGUCGGAAAAAUUGAAAGUAUUUUGAGCGUAUAUUUUUGUGUGCUCGCGGUUUUGUUUUCAUUUCAUCGCCUAAUGAUUGAAAAUAUGCAUGGAUUUCGAAUUAGCCAUGUAUUUAAAUGGUUUUUGAAUUGAAAUCGUGGCAAUUACGGCCUCGAUUUGCCAUGUGACAAAUGGUGUAACGGUCUAAAAAUAUUUCGUAUUUUAUAAGUCAUCAAAUGCUUGAAAAGUAUUCAGAUUUUAAUGAACAGUUUGAUAUUGCUGAUUUGCUGGUAUUUUGAAGUUCGCAUUUAAAAAAAAUUUUAAGUAUGGCAAAUGGAAUUUUUCCAAAAUACGAGCUUAAUGCUAGACCGUACAUCGUGUUUCUUACUAAUGUGGGCUAAUGAUGUUUGGGUGUGAUUGUGGUAUCGUUCCGCUUCAUUAGCCAAAACACAGACUUGCAGAAGCGCUCAUAUUAUGAAUAUUAAUGGCCUGUUUAUUUGAUCCCGGCAGGAUCUAGGAACGUUUUCACCCGGCUGGCUGGCUAGCGGGAAAUGCACCCAGGUGGGAUUGGCAUGUUUAGAUGGACCAAAACAUUCCUGGGAUAAAGCCAUCUAAGGGGUAUAUGUGUGGAGACGAGCCAGCCCAGAUACCUGAGCUAGCUCGCGAGACUCUUGAGAUGGACUGGCUCUCCAAAACAAACCACCGGCUCUCACCGCUGUAACACUCAGCUAGCCGGGGUCAUUGCAUUUUUAUGCGGUCACAUUCCCAUCACCCAAGAUCACGGCUCCCUUCGAGGCAGGCCAGCUCAGUUCCCAUAUAAAGUCAAAAUAAAAUUUAAACCAGGCGAGCUCAGGUACCCUGGCUGGCUUGCCCCGUACAAACAGCCCCUAGGUGCUUGACAUAUUUUUGUAGCUGAUGGUGGUUGGUGUUUCAGAGCAGACACUUUUCGCUCAUGGGUUCGAUCCUCAUGGCACAGCCAUAACGUUUAUGUGCAAAGAGUCAAACCAUCUACAUCCAAUUCUAUCGAAAUAUUAUAAGAUGCCCAAAACCCUGGUAUACAUAACCUAAUUGUAACAUUUUGUAGACAAACAACAAUGUAUCUGAUCUGGAAGAAAAUUUUCAAGGAAUAAAUAUCAAUGAUGAAAAAGAGCAAAAAUCCAAUAUGCAAGAG
rnacentral:lncRNA from 1 species